rnacentral:rRNA from 1 species
AUUGAACGCUGGCGGCAUGCCUUACACAUGCAAGUCGAACGGCAGCACGGGUGCUUGCACCUGGUGGCGAGUGGCGAACGGGUGAGUAAUACAUCGGAACGUACCUUAUCGUGGGGGAUAACGCAGCGAAAGCUGUGCUAAUACCGCAUACGCCCUGAGGGGGAAAGCGGGGGAUCGCAAGACCUCGCGCGAUUAGAGCGGCCGAUGCCUGAUUAGCUAGUUGGUGGGGUAAAAGCCCACCAAGGCGACGAUCAGUAGCUGGGCUGAGAGGACGAUCAGCCACACUGGGACUGAGACACGGCGCAGACUCCGACGGGAGGCAGCGGUGGGGAAUUUUGGAGAAUGGGGGCAACCCUGAGCCAGCAAUGCCGCGUGAGUGAAGAAGGCCUUCGGGUUGUAAAGCUCUUUUGUCAGGGAAGAAACACCGGCUCUAACACAGUCCGGGAAUGACGGUACCUGAAGAAUAAGCACCGGCUAACUACGUGCCAGCCGCCGCAGUAA